rnacentral:rRNA from 1 species
GAGUUUGAUCAUGGCUCAGAUUGAACGCUGGCGGCAUGCCUUACACAUGCAAGUCGAACGGCAGCACGGGAGCAAUCCUGGUGGCGAGUGGCGAACGGGUGAGUAAUGUAUCGGAACGUACCUUUCAGUGGGGGAUAACGUAGCGAAAGUUACGCUAAUACCGCAUAUUCUGUGAGCAGGAAAGCAGGGGAUCGCAAGACCUUGCGCUGAUUGAGCGGCCGAUAUCAGAUUAGCUAGUUGGUGAGGUAAAGGCUCACCAAGGCGACGAUCUGUAGCGGGUCUGAGAGGAUGAUCCGCCACACUGGAACUGAGACACGGUCCAGACUCCUACGGGAGGCAGCAGUGGGGAAUUUUGGACAAUGGGGGCAACCCUGAUCCAGCCAUGCCGCGUGAGUGAAGAAGGCCUUCGGGUUGUAAAGCUCUUUCAGCCGGGAAGAAAUCACAUGGGUUAAUACCCUGUGUGGAUGACGGUACCGGAAUAAGAAGCACCGGCUAACUACGUGCCAGCAGCCGCGGUAAUACGUAGGGUGCGAGCGUUAAUCGGAAUUACUGGGCGUAAAGCGUGCGCAGGCGGUUUGUUAAGAUAGGCGUGAAAUCCCCGGGCUCAACCUGGGAACUGCGUUUAUGACUGGCAGGCUAGAGUAUGGCAGAGGGGGGUGGAAUUCCACGUGUAGCAGUGAAAUGCGUAGAGAUGUGGAGGAACACCGAUGGCGAACGCAGCCCCCUGGGCCAAUACUGACGCUCAUGCACGAAAGCGUGGGUAGCAAACA